GAUGAACGCUGGCGGCGUGCUUAACACAUGCAAGUCGAACGAAGCACUCUAUUUGAUUUUCUUCGGAAAUGAAGAUUUUGUGACUGAGUGGCGGACGGGUGAGUAACGCGUGGGUAACCUGCCUCAUACAGGGGGAUAACAGUUGGAAACGACUGCUAAUACCGCAUAAGCGCACAGGAUCGCAUGAUCCGGUGUGAAAAACUCCGGUGGUAUGAGAUGGACCCGCGUCUGAUUAGCCAGUUGGCAGGGUAACGGCCUACCAAAGCAACGAUCAGUAGCCGACCUGAGAGGGUGACCGGCCACAUUGGGACUGAGACACGGCCCAAACUCCUACGGGAGGCAGCAGUGGGGAAUAUUGCACAAUGGGGGAAACCCUGAUGCAGCGACGCCGCGUGAGCGAAGAAGUAUUUCGGUAUGUAAAGCUCUAUCAGCAGGGAAGAAGAAUGACGGU
rnacentral:rRNA from 1 species